GGGCGCUUGGUCUAGGGGUAUGAUUUUCGCUUCGCAUCAACUGUCAGUUGCAGAGACGCGCUUGUGAAAGGUCGUGGGUUCAAUUCCCACAGUGUCCA
rnacentral:tRNA from 1 species